CAACCUGCCUUCAGGAUGGGGACAACAGACGGAAACGACUGCUAAUACCGAAUAAGUUCCAAGAGCCGCAUGGCCCAUGGAAGAAAAGGUGGCCUCUACCUGUAAGCUAUCGCCUGAAGAGGGGUUUGCGUCUGAUUAGCUGGUUGGAGGGGUAACGGCCCACCAAGGCGACGAUCAGUAGCCGGUCUGAGAGGAUGAACGGCCACACUGGAACUGAGACACGGUCCAGACUCCUACGGGAGGCAGCAGUGGGGAAUCUUCCGCAAUGGGCGAAAGCCUGACGGAGCAACGCCGCGUGAGUGAUGACGGCCUUCGGGUUGUAAAACUCUGUGAUCCGGGACGAAAAGGCAGAGUGCGAAGAACAAACUGCAUUGACGGUACCGGAAAAGCAAGCCACGGCUAACUACGUGCCAGCAGCCGCGGUAAUACGUAGGUGGCAAGCGUUGUCCGGAAUUAUUGGGCGUAAAGCGCGCGCAGGCGGCUUCCCAAGUCCCUCUUAAAAGUGCGGGGCUUAACCCCGUGAUGGGAAGGAAACUGGGAAGCUGGAGUAUCGGAGAGGAAAGUGGAAUUCCUAGUGUAGCGGUGAAAUGCGUAGAGAUUAGGAAGAACACCGGUGGCGAAGGCGACUUUCUGGACGAAAACUGACGCUGAGGCGCGAAAGCGUGGGGAGCAAACAGGAUUAGAUACCCUGGUAGUCCACGCCGUAAACGAUGGAUACU
rnacentral:rRNA from 1 species